rnacentral:lncRNA from 1 species
AUGGACCCAGGGAGGAGAAUUUACUCUUCUCUGUUAAGAAGCAGCUCUGGUGUCCUGACCAAAUGUCAGAAGAUGGGACUUUGCUCAGACCAAGCUACCAAAGACCACUGCCCUUCAUUUCAUGAGCUCAGCCCUGUCUACCCAGACGAGCAACCGAGGAGCCUGAUCCAGGAGCCAACAGAUAUUUACAACCACUGAUUUGUUGGUCCAUAAGCCCAAAAGGAGAAAUUGGGUCAACUUGAUGCAACUGGUAAAGAAAAAAAUGAGAGAAAGGGAGUACAAACAUGUCUGUGAUGUGGGCGUGUCAUUAUGGCUGGUGCACGUGCUGGGCUCAGGACACAAAAUGAGUAAGUCUUGGGUCCUUGGAUUCCCACAGCAGAAGCAAAGAAACCAGGUAAGCUGGAAAGAUGAAGCUGUGCUCUGAAAUUCCUUGGACCUUAAAUGUACAGGUGCAGCAGGAGCCGUAGUGGCAGCCUCUUCUGUUUCUCUUCUCCAGUGUCUGUUAUGGAGAGUCCUGGGAAUCCUACAUUCACCGGGGCAAGUUUAUCUCAUUGGCACUUCCUCCCCUCAACCCACCACUGAGAAACUCAAUGGUUUACACACGAGAGCAUUUCCGGCACAUGUGUGCAGUCAGGGGAAAUAAUGAUCUGCUGGAGCUUUGCUGGAAUGUUCAGAGAUUGGUUUCAUUCCAUGAAAAACUCCAUCGUGGCUGGGCGUGGUGACUCACACCUAUAAUCCCAGUGCUUUGGAAGGCCAAGGUGGGAGGAUCACUUGAGACCAGGAGUUCAAGACUAGCCUGGGCAACAUAGCGAGAUCCCAUCUCUACAAAAAAAAAAAAAAAAAAAAAAAACCUUUAAAAAAAAUUAACCAGCCUGGAGGCUGAGGCGGAAGGAUCACUUGAGCCCAGGAGUUUGAGGCUGUAGUGAACUAUGAUUGCACCACUGCAAUCCAUCCCGGGCAACAAAUGAGACCUUAUCUCUAAUAAAUAAAUAAAUAAACACAAUUUUAAAACUCCAUCUUCCAAGAAAGAAGUCAGGUU